rnacentral:rRNA from 1 species
AACGCGAAGAACCUUACCCACCUUUGACAUGUACGGAAUCCUUUAGAGAUAGAGGAGUGCUCGAAAGAGAGCCGUAACACAGGUGCUGCAUGGCUGUCGUCAGCUCGUGUCGUGAGAUGUUGGGUUAAGUCCCGCAACGAGCGCAACCCUUGCCAUUAGUUGCUACGAAAGGGCACUCUAAUGGGACUGCCGGUGACAAACCGGAGGAAGGUGGGGAUGACGUCAAGUCCUCAUGGCCCUUAUAGGUGGGGCUACACACGUCAUACAAUGGCUGGUACAGAGGGUUGCCAACCCGCGAGGGGGAGCCAAUCCCACAAAGCCAGUCGUAGUCCGGAUCGCAGUCUGCAACUCGACUGCGUGAAGUCGGAAUCGCUAGUAAUCGCGGAUCAGAAUGUCGCGGUGAAUACGUUCCCGGGUCUUGUACACACCG